GGAUGUGAGGGCAAUCUGGCUGCGACAUCUGUCACCCCAUUGAUGGCCAGGGUUGAUUCAGCUGAUCUGGCUGGCUAGACGGGUGUCCCCUUCCUCCCUCACUGCUCCAUGUGCGUCCCCCCCCCGCCCCGAAGCCGACCAUCCCCGAGAAAGGAGGACCGUUCUUCCGUCAAGGGUAUAGGAGUAGCGGCGCUCCCCUGCUAGAACCUCCAAACGAGCUCUCAAGAAUCUGACUGCAUCAGCUCAGGUCACCGUGCAGGUGCGGGGUUUGAUCCCUGGCCCAGCAUAGUGGGUUAAAAUUUCCGCGUUU
rnacentral:sRNA from 1 species